AUGGGUAUCCCGGUAGAAAAUGAAAAAAUCAGUAUAUUGUUGUACGCCGAUGAUAUUGCUUUAGUGACUGAAAACGAACGCGAUAUGCAAGUUGUUCUUGACGUACUUAAUAAAUGGUGUGAGAAAUGGAGAUUAAACGUAAAUAGUGCAAAAUCAAGUGUUAUGCACUUCCGGAAAGGUCGAAUUCCACGGACCAGUUCAACAUUCAAAAUUGGAAAUGAACAACUACAAAUCGUUGAGCAAUACAAGUACCUGGGCGUUAUUUUUAGCGAGAAACUUAAGUAUACUGCUGCAGCGGAUGCAUUUGCCAAAGCCGGUGGUAGAGCACUUGGUGCUGCUAUUUCAAAAAGUUCAUUCAUACAAAGAAAUUGGAUUUAA
rnacentral:sRNA from 1 species